ensembl:snRNA U2 U2 spliceosomal RNA
AUCCCCACCAAAGUCAAUUUUAUUUUGGUCAAGAAUUCACAAUCGCUUAUAUAUCCUUUAUCUAAGGACAAUAUAUUAAAUGGGUUUUUGGAGCUGGGAGAUGGAAUAGGAACUUGUUCCAUCCAAUCCAUGCCUUAACCUGGUACUGCAGUACCACCAGGAAUGGUGCACCACUU